rnacentral:rRNA from 1 species
GACGAACGCUGGCGGCGUGCUUAACACAUGCAAGUCGAACGGAAAGGCCCUGCGUUUGUGGGGUGCUCGAGUGGCGAACGGGUGAGUGACACGUGAGUAACCUGCCCUUGACUUUGGGAUAACUUCAGGAAACUGGGGCUAAUACCGGAUAGGAUAUCCUGCAGCAUGGUGGGGAGUGGAAAUUUUCGGCGGUUGGGGAUGGACUCGCGGCUUAUCAGCUAGUUGGUGGGGUAGUGGCUGACCAAGGCUUUGACGGGUAGCCGGCCUGAGAGGGUGACCGGCCACAUUGGGACUGAGAUACGGCCCAGACUCCUACGGGAGGCAGCAGUGGGGAAUCUUGCACAAUGGGCGGAAGCCUGAUGCAGCAACGCCGCGUGCGGGAUGACGGCCUUCGGGUUGUAAACCGCUUUCGCCUGUGACGAAGCGUGAGUGACGGUAAUGGGUAAAGAAGCACCGGCUAACUACGUG